UAUCGAUAUGUGAAUACAUAGCAUAUCAGAAGGCACACCCGGAGAACUGAAACAUCUUAGUACCCGGAGGAAGAGAAAGAAAAUUCGAUUCCCUUAGUAGCGGCGAGCGAAACGGGAAGAGCCCAAACCAACAAGCUUGCUUGUUGGGGUUGUAGGACACUCUAUACGGAGUUACAAAGGACGACAUUAGACGAAUCAUCUGGAAAGAUGAAUCAAAGAAGGUAAUAAUCCUGUAGUCGAAAAUGUUGUCUCUCUUGAGUGGAUCCUGAGUACGACGGAGCACGUGAAAUUCCGUCGGAAUCUGGGAGGACCAUCUCCUAAGGCUAAAUACUCUCUAGUGACCGAUAGUGAACCAGUACCGUGAGGGAAAGGUGAAAAGCACCCCGGAAGGGGAGUGAAAUAGAACCUGAAACCGUGUGCUUACAAGUAGUCAGAGCCCGUUAAUGGGUGAUGGCGUGCCUUUUGUAGAAUGAACCGGCGAGUUACGAUUUGAUGCAAGGUUAAGCAGUAAAUGUGGAGCCGUAGCGAAAGCGAGUCUGAAUAGGGCGUUUAGUAUUUGGUCGUAGACCCGAAACCAGGUGAUCUACCCUUGGUCAGGUUGAAGUUCAGGUAACACUGAAUGGAGGACCGAACCGACUUACGUUGAAAAGUGAGCGGAUGAACUGAGGGUAGCGGAGAAAUUCCAAUCGAACCUGGAGAUAGCUGGUUCUCUCCGAAAUAGCUUUAGGGCUAGCCUCAAGUGAUGAUUAUUGGAGGUAGAGCACUGUUUGGACGAGGGGCCCCUCUCGGGUUACCGAAUUCAGACAAACUCCGAAUGCCAAUUAAUUUAACUUGGGAGUCAGAACAUGGGUGAUAAGGUCCGUGUUCGAAAGGGAAACAGCCCAGACCACCAGCUAAGGUCCCAAAAUAUAUGUUAAGUGGAAAAGGAUGUGGCGUUGCCCAGACAACUAGGAUGUUGGCUUAGAAGCAGCCAUCAUUUAAAGAGUGCGUAAUAGCUCACUAGUCGAGUGACACUGCGCCGAAAAUGUACCGGGGCUAAACAUAUUACCGAAGCUGUGGAUUGUCCUUUGGACAAUGGUAGGAGAGCGUUCUAAGGGCGUUGAAGCAUGAUCGUAAGGACAUGUGGAGCGCUUAGAAGUGAGAAUGCCGGUGUGAGUAGCGAAAGACGGGUGAGAAUCCCGUCCACCGAUUGACUAAGGUUUCCAGAGGAAGGCUCGUCCGCUCUGGGUUAGUCGGGUCCUAAGCUGAGGCCGACAGGCGUAGGCGAUGGAUAACAGGUUGAUAUUCCUGUACCACCUAUAAUCGUUUUAAUCGAUGGGGGGACGCAGUAGGAUAGGCGAAGCGUGCGAUUGGAUUGCACGUCUAAGCAGUAAGGCUGAGUAUUAGGCAAAUCCGGUACUCGUUAAGGCUGA
rnacentral:rRNA from 1 species